UACGGAGGGCGCAAGCGUUGUUCGGAAUUACUGGGCGUAAAGCGCGUGUAGGCGGCUCGACAAGUCGGGUGUGAAAUCCCGGAGCUCAACUCCGGAACUGCAUCCGAUACUGUCGAGCUAGAGUCUCGGAGAGGAUGGCGGAAUUUCCGGUGUAGAGGUGAAAUUCGUAGAUAUCGGAAGGAACACCAGUGGCGAAGGCGGCCGUCUGGACGAUGACUGACGCUGAGACGCGAAAGCGUGGGGAGCAAACAGG
rnacentral:rRNA from 1 species